CCGUGGUGGGCGGGCAGUGGGGCCUGGCCGGCUGCGCGCUGGUGCUGCUGCUGUACGGCGUGGUCUUCCUGUUCGGGGCGGAGAUCGCGGCC
rnacentral:tRNA from 1 species